GAUGAAGAACGUAGCGAAAUGCGAUAAGUAAUGCGAAUUGCAGAAUUCCGUGAGUCAUCGAAUCUUUGAACGCACAUUGCGCCCUCUGGUAUUCCGGAGGGCAUGCCUGUCUGAGCGUCAUUGUCAACCCUCAAGCUCAGCUUGCUGUUGGGUCCCCGUCGUUGCUUUAACGGCGGACCCGAAAGGUAAUGGCAGAGUCCGUGAGACCCUAGACGCAGCGAGCUUCUAGCACGCGUCUGGACGUUUUUCGGGCUCGGUCUUAACUAGAUGAUAACUUCCGAUUGACCUCAGAUCAGGUAGGGAUACCCGCUGAACUUAAGCAUAUCAAUAAGCGGGGGA
rnacentral:misc_RNA from 1 species